GUUUAAAUGCUUAAAUGUGGCAUUGUUGUUGCAGGUACCCGAUGCAGUGUCUGAUUCUUGAUCUCACAUAAAUUGCCACAUUUUCCAUCUGUCCUGCACAUCCAACCCCAUCCUUUUGUUGUUGUUUUGUUUACGGUUUUGGAGGGGGGGGGGGGGGGGGGGGGGGGUACUUUCAAACAUGGGCCAAAGCCAUAAACUGCAUCCUUAAUAGCAUCUUAGCCACCCGUGAUAGGAAAUGAUCCCAGCCAAAUGUACCAUUAUAGCAGUCAUUCAAAAAUAAGGCGGAUCUCUGAACUGAGCUUAUUUUUGUGGGCACAUCUUAGCUGGAUGGCUGACACAUAACUUCAUGAAUGCCCAUGUGCCCAAAACCUAAAUCAGACUAGAACUCAGUUUGUCUGUUUCCUUUCAAUGUCUUGAUUCACUAUAAAACGUGAUCUUUGUAAUGUCUAAAAUGUCUUUAAUUUCUCAUAUAUUAAUGUAGUGUUAGGCUUGGAGUGCUCCUAGGAUUACAUCUGUAAGAUUUACAGAGCUUUCACUUGCUUUCCUGUUUUUCAGCAUCUUGCUAUUCAGAUUACGAACUAGUGCUUCUGUGGUGAUGCCGUUCACAAUGUUCCUCUGUGUCAUGUUUUACAGUAGUGCUCUAUAAGCAUGGUGUAAGGAGAUUUGUGCUAGGAUCAUCCUCCAGUUGUCCUCACAUUUCUUACUAAGGUUUCCUCUUGAGUUCUUGCCAGGUCAUUGUCCAUGGGAUCACAGCUUGUGUGAGGAUAUUAUUGCUUUCUUAUACUGAUUAUGCAUAGUGUUUCACAGUGAGAAGGUGUUGGUGCUAUACAAGUCUCUUUCAUCUGUAGUCUUUGGAGUGCUCCAGUUUGAAAGUGUCAGUGACACAGAGGGUUGCCCCUUGAUGAUGAUGUCACCACUUUUGCCUGCUGAGGAGAAUGAUGCAGCAUUUUAUUGUGUGGCUGUUCAGCGCAGCUCCUGUGGGUGCAGAGCAGAGGAAGGAACCCCUCACUGUUUCCUCCCGUGGGGCCUCAGAUGGGCGAGGCCGCCCUCUGGUGCGCCAGGUGUGCAGAUCAAGCCUUUUGCACUGACCUUUUGUUGCCUCCCCAUGCAGUAAAUUGUGCAGUCACUCAUCUAGCUAGAGGCUAAGCGGC
rnacentral:lncRNA from 1 species